rnacentral:other from 1 species
UUUGCCCUGCUGUGUACGCGAUUAAACGGAGUGUAGUCCCGGACCUAUGUUAAAUUAAAUCCCGGAGGCUUGUGCGCCCGGCGAGAUGACAGGCCUUCAUUGGACGUCUGAUUGCUGGGAAUGCGGUCAUCCACCCUAAUAUUAGGGAACGGGAACUGCUUCGGAACGGCAUGAGUGGGGCAAUA